GACGAACGCUGGCGGCGUGCCUAAUACAUGCAAGUAGAACGCUGAAGCGAGGAGCUUGCUCUUCUUGGAUGAGUUGCGAACGGGUGAGUAACGCGUAGGUAACCUGCCUUGUAGCGGGGGAUAACUAUUGGAAACGAGCUAAUACCGCAUAACAAUGGAUGACACAUGUCAUUUAUUUGAAAGGGGCAAUUGCUCCACUACAAGAUGGACCUGCGUUGUAUUAGCUAGUAGGUGAGGUAAUGGCUCACCUAGGCGACGAUACAUAGCCGACCUGAGAGGGUGAUCGGCCACACUGGGACUGAGACACGGCCCAGACUCCUACGGGAGGCAGCAGUAGGGAAUCUUCGGCAAUGGGGGCAACCCUGAACGAGCAACGCCGCGUGAGUGAAGAAGGUUGUCGGAUCGUAAAGCUCUGUUGUAAGUCAAGAACGGGUGUGAGAGUGGAAAGUUCACACUGUGACGGUAGCUGACCAGAAAGGGACGGCUAACUACGUG
rnacentral:rRNA from 1 species